rnacentral:rRNA from 1 species
CCUACGGGGGGCAGCAGUCGAGAAUCAUUCACAAUGGGGGAAACCCUGAUGGUGCGACGCCGCGUGAGGGAAGACGGUUUUCGGAUUGUAAACCUCUGUCCUCUGUGAAGAUAAUGACGGUAGCAGAGGAGGAAGCUCCGGCUAACUACGUGCCAGCAGCCGCGGUAAUACGUAGGGAGCGAGCGUUGUCCGGAUUUACUGGGUGUAAAGGGUGCGUAGGCGGGUAAGCAAGUCAGAAGUGAAAUCCAUGGGCUUAACCCAUGAACUGCUUUUGAAACUGUUUAUCUUGAGUGAAGUAGAGGUAG